rnacentral:tRNA from 1 species
GCGCCCAUAGCUCAGUUGGUAGAGCAGCGGCCUUUUAAGCCGUUGGUCGAUGGUUCGAAUCCAUCUGGGCGCACCG